GCUUGAUAAUUAAACAAUUUUUAAUAAUAAUCAACAUGUUACCAGUAAUAAGGAGUAUUAUCUUAAUAGCUGAUCUCUAAAAGGGCCGAUAUAUCUAUUCACUUUUGUAGUUUCUACCUUACGUUUUUUUCCCAGGGAAAAGCUUUUUAUGACUUCGACUGGAUCGUACUCAAUUUGAGAAUUACUAAUAUUAUAACCAUUCAGAUGAGGUAUACAUGCCAACUCUUUCUCGACCACUUGGAUGAGGCGUACGUGAUGCCUUUUUCUUGCUUAUUCAGAUGAGGCGUACAUACCACCUUUUUUUACCAUUCAGAUGAUGCGUACAUGUUGCCUCUUUCUCAACAAAGAAGUAUUAUUGAGAAGAUGUACAUAUCGAGCUAUUUAUUUUAUCUCCCAACACGACAACAAUAUAUGGAAGGGAAUAUCGCUGUAUCUAUGAUGUAUAAAGAUCCCACAUGAUGGGAUCAACUUAUGUGGCAAUAAAAGAACCGAACAAUAUUUAUUAAAAGCUCUCUACAUGGUAGGAUCAACCAUACAUGGCAUGGUAAAGGGACAACCUAAUCUUUGUUAUAAGGGUCCCUAAAUUAUGGAACCAACCCACAUGGCAAUAAAAGGACUAAACAAUCUCCAUUUUGAGAGUCCCCGCAUGAUGAGAUCGACCUCACAUGGCGCGGUGAAGAGAUCGAGUAAUCUCUGUUAUAAGGGUCCCCGUAUGAUGAGAUCAACCCCACAUGGGACCGUAAAUGGACAAGGAAAAGUCUAUUACAAGAGUCUCCAUAUUAUGGGAUCAAAUCCACAUGGUAAUAAAGAAAUGGGCAAUCUCCAUUCUAAGAGUCCCUACAUGAUGGGAACAUCCCAUAUGGCAUUCAAGAACUUCAUUAUAUCUACUAUCUCUAUGAUAAGGGCGCACACAUGAUGGGAACACCCCACAGGGUGUUCAAGGGAUCCCGUACUACUCGUAUAAGCGAUAUGGAUCCCACACAUAAGGGGGAUGCCCUCGUGUUGCUAAGUUUAUCUUGCUUGAAUCUCUAAAUACCAUGUAUGCUUGAGAACAUCCCACGUAACAAUGAUAUAAAUGCCUCAGUCACGAUGACGAUCUCUAUGAGCGGUAAAUGCCCCAAUGGGUGAGGCAUAGAUAAAUGCUCCGCACGACAUGAAAAAAUACACAUGCCAUAAACACGGUGAUGAGCCCCAAGUGUGGCACAUCAAAUAAAUUCUAGGGGCACGGCAAAUGCCCCUAUGAGCGCCACAAAAAUAAAUGCUCCAUCUAGCGUGGCAAAAUACAUACGGCCCGAGGUAUGGUAAUGAGCUCCAGGUGUGGCAUACAUUAUAAAUGCCCUAGUGCGACACACACAAUGGAUGCCCUAGGUGCGGCAACGAGCCCCGGGCCUUACACAUAAAAUAAAUUCCCCGACCACGGUGACAAGCCUAGAUAAGGUAAAUGCCACGAUGAGUGCAGCAAAGGUACAUACUUGGCCCGGCAUAGUGAAAUUGCACAUCCCUCAAGCAUGGCACAUAGAACAAAGGCCUUAAUACGACAUAUGAUGUAUGUUCCUCAAGUGCGGCCAAUAAAGCAAACUCCCCUAGGUGCAACAAUAAGCUACUCCAAGCGGCCCUCUCUCUCAUCUCAUGCCCUAUCACUAACACCCUUGCCUUUGAGUCUUUAUCUUCCGUGCUAGGUUGAUAACUAGGAGUUGAACUUGGAUUGUGAGUAGGGUCCUCCCUAAAUCAAGAAGUUUUGAGGAAUACGGAGGCUUAAAUAAAGUAAAAAUAGCUCAACACUAUACAUUAAGCCAACUGUCCGAAUCGAGCAUCUCCUCUUUAACUUUCUCCUUGGCCCUCUUCCCUUCGUCACAAACAGAACGUAACUACUUUUUAAAGGAGUUCUCCCUUUUGCAAGAGCACUAUCUAGAACCUGUUAGCUCCUUGCAGAGCUUGAUCACCUUUGCCAUCAUCUAGGAGUUCCACUCCAACAUUUGAUUCGGGACAUGAGCAUGGAGCAUAACAGUCUACGUACAACCAAAAAAGAGGGAAUAUGAAGAAAAAAACGGAUUACAUAAGACGUUAGCUAGCCAAAGUCAUGAGAAAAGUAAAUUGGGAUCAACCUGAAGAAAGCUCUGGGUAGCUUCCUCUAACAGUUGACACUGUGAGGUCUUCCUAGUAGAAUGUAAGAAUUCAAACUUUCUUUAUGAAGCUUGCAUGAGGAUAGGGAAUAGGAUCAUUGACAACUAGUCUUUUCCUUUUGUCAACAGCUAAUCUAAUUGCAUAGCAAGGGGGUAAGCCCUGCGAGGCACUCUCAGAAAUGGAUGAAGAAGCUUUUUCAAAAAACACCUAGACAUCGCCCUUUAUGGCCUGAGGGGAAGAUCGCCGAGUCAAACUUGUUGCCCAUUUAAUAAAACUAGGAACUCCCUUCCAGCCAACUUAUAGGGAAUCUCUUUCCAUCUUAGGCAUCUCCUACUUUGACAAACUCUUUGGCAGAAAACACAAGAGAAAGAGGGUUAGCAUAAUUCUAAAGUUAAUGUGAGACACCCAGGACAAGAGACAAAAUACACAACCUCGAUGCUGCAAAGGUCUACCCUCACAGAAACUGUCCUCAAUGAGAAGAUUUCCUCACAUUGCAUGAUCCCUCAAGUAAAAAUUUAGUCUCCUUCAUCUCGUUCUUUACUAAAGAAGACUAAGAGGAUUUCAUUGAGGAUGAAAUAUGGGCUAAAGAUAUUGAGGGCAUGACACAUGGGGAGUCUGACUCAAAACCAUGACAAAAGAUAAAAGGAAAGCUGAAAAAAGAGGAUGAAGGGGAAGACUUUGAAGAAAUGGAAAGAUCUCACAUGGGAAAUGUGAUUCAAAACUAUGACAAAGAAUGAAAGGGAUGUUGAGAAGGAAGUUAACAAGUGGAAGAUGAAAAGGGAAGUUGAGAUGGGAAGAUCUCGGGAAGAUGACAUCAACCACCCAAGUCAUCAAAGAAUAACGGAAUAUCCCUUUUAUGGUAUGGCCGCGCCAUUGCAUGGUAGUAUGAUCCCCACAUAAGUUGCUUCCCAAAUAUCUCCUUGCGAGCCGCCCAAGUCAGAAGGAAAAGAAGACCAUGGACAACCC
rnacentral:lncRNA from 1 species